GAUGAACGCUGGCGGCGUGCCUAAUACAUGCAAGUCGAGCGAACGGACGAGAAGCUUGCUUCUCUGAUGUUAGCGGCGGACGGGUGAGUAACACGCGGAUAACCUACCUAUAAGACUGGGAUAACUUCGGGAAACCGGAGCUAAUACCGGAUAAUAUUUUGAACCGCAUGGUUCAAAAGUGAAAGACGGUCUUGCUGUCACUUAUAGAUGGAUCCGCGCUGCAUUAGCUAGUUGGUAAGGUAACGGCUUACCAAGGCAACGAUGCAUAGCCGACCUGAGAGGGGAUCGGCCACACUGGAACUGAGACACGGUCCAGACUCCUACGGGAGGCAGCAGUAGGGAAUCUUCCGCAAUGGGCGAAAGCCUGACGGAGCAACGCCGCGUGAGUGAUGAAGGUCUUCGGAUCGUAAAACUCUGUUAUUAGGGAAGAACAUAUGUGUAAGUAACUGUGCACAUCUUGACGGUACCUAAUCAGAAAGCCACGGCUAACUACGUG
rnacentral:rRNA from 1 species